rnacentral:rRNA from 1 species
UACGGGGGGAGCAAGCGUUGUUCGGAUUUACUGGGCGUAAAGGGCGCGUAGGCGGUCAGCACAAGUCAGUUGUGAAAUCUCCGGGCUUAACCCGGAAAGGUCAACUGAUACUGUGCGGCUAGAGUGCGGAAGGGGCAACUGGAAUUCUCGGUGUAGCGGUGAAAUGCGUAGAUAUCGAGAGGAACACCGGCGGCGAAGGCGGGUUGCUGGGCCGACACUGACGCUGAUGCGCGAAAGCCAGGGGAGCGAACGGG